UACGUAGGGGGCUAGCGUUGUCCGGAAUCAUUGGGCGUAAAGAGCGUGUAGGCGGCCCGGUAAGUCCGCUGUGAAAGUCGGGGGCUCAACCCUCGAAUGCCGGUGGAUACUGUCGAGCUAGAGUGCGGAAGAGGCGAGUGGAAUUCCUGGUGUAGCGGUGAAAUGCGCAGAUAUCAGGAGGAACACCAAUUGCGAAGGCAGCUCGCUGGGACGUAACUGACGCUGAGACGCGAAAGCGUGGGGAGCAAACAGG
rnacentral:rRNA from 1 species